rnacentral:rRNA from 1 species
AUUGAACGCUGGCGGCAGGCCUAACACAUGCAAGUCGAGCGGUAGAGAGGUGCUUGCAUCUCUUGAGAGCGCGGACGGGUGAGUAAUGCCUAGGAAUCUGCCUAGUGGUGGGGGAUAACGUUCGGAAACGGACGCUAAUACCGCAUACGUCCUACGGGAGAAAGCGGGGGAGUCUUCGGACCUCGCGCCAUUAGAUGAGCCUAGGUCGGAUUAGCUAGUUGGUGAGGUAAUGGCUCACCCAAGGCGACGAUCCGUAACUGGUCUGAGAGGAUGAUCAGUCACACUGGAACUGAGACACGGUCCAGACUCCUACGGGAGGGCAGCAGUGGGGGAAUAUUGG